rnacentral:lncRNA from 1 species
GGAGGUGAUAUGGUGGAUCUUGCUGGGGUGGGGGGUGGAGAAAGAGGUUCAGAACCUGAUGGAGGAGGGGGUGAAGGAGAAUUUUGAGGUGAGCUUGCCACCGGUGGGGGUGGGGAACUGGAUGAAGUUGGAGAUGGAACAUUGUCUGGAGGAGGUGUAGAAGGUGAAACAGCUGGAGGGGAAGGUGGGGUCCCUACAGGAGGGGCUGGGGAAACCCGGGGAGAGGGAGAACCUUCUGAUGGAGGUGGUGGGGACAAAACUGGAGGGGGUGUUGAGUUCACAGCUGGAGGAGGGGCAGAUGUUGGAGGUGAUGGUGGCGGUGAUGCUGGAGGUGAUGGUGGUGGUGAUGCUGGAGGAGAUGGUGGUGGUGAUGCUGGAGGUGAUGGUGGUGGUGAAGUUGGUGGUGGUAUUGAUGCAGGCGGCGGUGGUGGUGAUUCUGGAGGAGAGGCAGUAACUGAUGGUGGAGGAGAUUGAGUAGGUGGGGGUGAAGGAUUAGAAGGG